rnacentral:rRNA from 1 species
UACGUAGGGGGCUAGCGUUGUCCGGAAUCAUUGGGCGUAAAGAGCGUGUAGGCGGCCCGGUAAGUCCGCUGUGAAAGUCGGGGGCUCAACCCUCGAAUGCCGGUGGAUACUGUCGGGCUAGAGUGCGGAAGAGGCGAGUGGAAUUCCUGGUGUAGCGGUGAAAUGCGCAGAUAUCAGGAGGAACACCGGUGGCGAAGGCGGGUCUCUGGGCAACAACUGACGCUGAGGAGCGAAAGCGUGGGGAGCGAACAGG